ACGUAGUUUGAUCAUGGCUACAGAACGAACGCUGGCGGCAUGCCUAACACAUGCAAGUCGAACGAGACCUUCGGGUCUAGUGGCGCACGGGUGCGUAACACGUGGGAAUUUGCCUCGGGGUAUGGAAUAACUCAGGGAAACUUGAGCUAAUACCAUAUAAUGUCUUCGGACCAAAGAUUUAUCGCCCUGAGAUAGGCCCGCGUAGGAUUAGCUAGUUGGUGGGGUAAAGGCUCACCAAGGCGACGAUCCUUAGCUGGUCUGAGAGGAUGAUCAGCCACACUGGGACUGAGACACGGCCCAGACUCCUACGGGAGGCAGCAGUGGGGAAUAUUGGACAAUGGGCGAAAGCCUGAUCCAGCAAUGCCGCGUGAGUGAUGAAGGCCUUCGGGUUGUAAAGCUCUUUUACUCGGGACGAUAAUGACGGUACCGAGAGAAUAAGCCCCGGCUAACUCCGUG
rnacentral:rRNA from 1 species